GACGAACGCUGGCGGCGUGCUUAGCACAUGCAAGUCGAACGUGAUUUUUGUGGAAAUUCUUUCGGGAAUGGAAAUGAAAUGAAAGUGGCGAACGGGUGAGUAACACGUGAGCAACCUACCUUACACAGGGGGAUAGCCGUUGGAAACGACGAUUAAUACCGCAUGAGACCACAGAAUCGCAUGAUAUAGGGGUCAAAGAUUUAUCGGUGUAAGAAGGGCUCGCGUCUGAUUAGCUAGUUGGAAGGGUAAAGGCCUACCAAGGCGACGAUCAGUAGCCGGUCUGAGAGGAUGAACGGCCACAUUGGAACUGAGACACGGUCCAAACUCCUACGGGAGGCAGCAGUGGGGAAUAUUGCACAAUGGGGGGAACCCUGAUGCAGCGACGCCGCGUGAGCGAAGAAGGUUUUCGAAUCGUAAAGCUCUGUCCUAUGAGAAGAUAAUGACGGUAUCAUAGGAGGAAGCCCCGGCUAAAUACGUG
rnacentral:rRNA from 1 species